rnacentral:rRNA from 1 species
AUUUCCCUACGGGAGGCAGCAGUGAGGAAUAUUGGUCAAUGGGCGAGAGCCUGAACCAGCCAAGUCGCGUGAGGGAGUACUGCCCUAUGGGUUGUAAACCUCUUUUGUCGGGGAGCAAAAGCCGGACGUGUCCGGCUGUGAGAGUACCCGAAGAAAAAGCAUCGGCUAACUCCGUGCCAGCAGCCGCGGUAAUACGGAGGAUGCGAGCGUUAUCCGGAUUUAUUGGGUUUAAAGGGUGCGUAGGCGGACGCUUAAGUCAGCGGUAAAAUUGCGGGGCUCAACCUCGUCGAGCCGUUGAAACUGGG